AGGGCAGCCAGGACCAGCCUUGACCGCGAGGGAGAACCACAAGCCCAGAGGUGUUGCUGGAAGGUCCAGAACCUGCUUGGGCUCAGCUGCUUUCUCCCUUCCAGUCUGCAGACGGAACGAGGCGGGGCUGUGUCUGUGGACAGAAGAGCAUCACUUCUCAGCGGAGAGCACAGGGGAGCAGCCUCAGAUGGGUAUCUGCACACUCAUGUGAACAGCAGCACGAUUCACAAUGGCCGAAAGGUGGAAGGAACCCAAAGGCCCAUCUGUGGUCCAUGAAAUCCAAGAGUCUGGGAACCAUUCCUCUGGCAGGUGUGAGGGGGAUCCAGAGAAGGUGGGCGGGGCUGUCUCCGUGAAUCGGAGAAUCGGCGUGAUGCCCCCGCCUCCCCUGGGUUGUGAACUCGGAGCAGCAACUGUCCCUACUUCUCCCAUCAACACAAGCUUCUCUUCAUGCUUCUCAUGACCUCCCUUUUUUUUUUUCCUUCCUUUUCCUCUCUUUGAGGGUGUUCCAAUCUUCUUCCCUGCCUUGCUUUUGCUCCAGCCCUUGGAGGGCAGCAGAAUAAGCCACCCGCAAACCUGCCACUUUGGCAUAAGGCUUAUUUUGAGCUGAAAGCAAAGGAGAAGAAGCAGAUGCAAGAACAGCUCUCCGCCCUCCCCUAGUCCCCUACAAUCAGGAUAUAAAUUUGUCAAGGUGUUGCGCUUCCCUCUCUGCCCGGAAGGAUGGAAGGGAAUCUCUGAAGGUGGCUCUCGACCCUGACCUUGACCAGGCAGAGGAACCCACGUGACACCUUUACUACCUAGCCCUUGUCUUCCCCUCGUGCCUCCAGAUGUUAACCUCACAACCUGCCGCCCUAGACAAAGUCCUUUUCUUGGUCUCGUCACUUCUCUAAACAUCUAUUUUUCUUUAUUAAUUUGUAAUAUAGGGGCGCCUGGGUGGCUCAUUUGGUUAGGCGUCUGCCUUCGGCUCCAGUCGUGGUC